rnacentral:rRNA from 1 species
GAUGAACGCUGGCGGCGUGCCUAAUACAUGCAAGUCGAGCGAACGGACGAGAAGCUUGCUUUUCUGAUGUUAGCGGCGGACGGGUGAGUAACACGUGGAUAACCUACCUAUAAGACUGGGAUCACUUCGGGAAACCGGAGCUAAUACCGGAUAAUAUUUUGAACCGCAUGGUUCAAAAGUGAAAGACGGUCUUGCUGUCACUUAUAGAUGGAUCCGCGCUGCAUUAGCUAGUUGGUAAGGUAACGGCUUACCAAGGCAGCGAUGCAUAGCCGACCUGCGAGGGUGAAGGGCCACACUGGAGCUGGGACACGGUCCAGACUCCUACGGGAGGCAGCAGUAGGGAAUCGUCCGCGAUGGGCGAAAGCCUGACGGAGCAACGCCGCGUGAGUGAUGAGGGGCUUCGGAUCGUAAAACUCUGUUAUUAGGGAAGAACAUAUGUGUAAGUAACUGUGCACAUCGUGACGGUACCUAAUCAGAAAGCCACGGCUAACUACGUG